CCUACGGGUGGCAGCAGUGGGGAAUAUUGCACAAUGGGCGCAAGCCUGAUGCAGCCAUGCCGCGUGUAUGAAGAAGGCUUUCGGGUUGUAAAGUUCUUUCAGUCGGGAGGAAGGUGUCAAUGUUUAUAACCUUAGCAAUUGAUGUUUCCGUCAGAACAGGCGCGGGCUAACUCCGUGCCAGCACCCUCGGUGAUAUGGAGGGUGCAAGCGUUAAUCGGAGUUACUGGGCGUAAAGCGCACGCAGGCGGUUGAUUGAGUCAGAUGUGAAAUCCCCGGGCUUAACCCGGGAAUUGCAUCUGAUACUGGUCAGCUAGAGUGUUGGAGAGGUAAGUAGAAUUCCAAGUGUAGCGGUGAAAUGCGUAGAGAUGAGGAGGAAUACCGGUGGCGAAGGCGGCCUCCUGGACAAAGAAUGACGCUCAGGUGCGAAAGCGUGGGGAGCAAACAGGAUUAGAUACCCCUGUAGUC
rnacentral:rRNA from 1 species